rnacentral:lncRNA from 1 species
UGCAUUUAUUCUCAUCUGUUUCUUUGACAUGCUUCAUUCAAUUAUGCAACAAGCAUCCUCAAACCUUGUUCCCUCUCAGAGGGGAGAACAGUGUAAUCAGAAUACAGCAGAUAGCACAUAUUUUUACCAUCUACCUUCAUUCCUAAUUUACUCACAGCAGUUUCCUCACACAUGCAUUCAUGUAUACAUUAAACAGCCACAGGGAUGUCACACACUCUUGAUUAUAAACCCUCAGACCUGCUUUCAUUUACUUUCACACUUGUAUAACUGUUAGCUUACAUUGCUCUCACUGCCCUAAGCAUCUGUUUAUUCACAUCAUAUUUCUUCAGCUUUUUCCACAGAUUACUUUAUUCAUUCUAUCAUAUACCUUCUUAAGAUCAACAAAAGUACAGAAUAGUUUCUUCCUCAUACUGAGGUAUUCUCCAGAAUUAUAUGGAUUAAUAAAAUCUGGUUCACACAUCUUUUUUCUACUCCUGAAGCUAUGUUCACAUCC